UACGUAGGGUGCAAGCGUUGUCCGGAAUUAUUGGGCGUAAAGAGCUCGUAGGCGGUCUGUCACGUCGGCUGUGAAAUCCCGAGGCUCAACCUCGGGUCUGCAGUCGAUACGGGCAAACUAGAGUAUUGCAGGGGAGACUGGAAUUCCUGGUGUAGCGGUGAAAUGCGCAGAUAUCAGGAGGAACACCGGUGGCGAAGGCGGUUCUCUGGGCCUUACCUGACACUGAGGAGCGAAAGCGUGGGGAGCGAACAGG
rnacentral:rRNA from 1 species